GACGAACGCUGGCGGCGUGCUUAACACAUGCAAGUCGAACGAAGUGGCGAACGGGUGAGUAACGCGUAAUCAACCUGCCCUUAGGGGGGGGACAACAGUUGGAAACGACUGCUAAUACCGCAUACAGAAGGUGGGGAUUGCGUUGGAUUAGCUAGGUGGAGGGGUAACGGCCCACCAAGGCGAUGAUCAGUAGCCGGGCUGAGGAGAUUAACGGCAACAAUGGGACUGAGACACGGCCCAGACUCCUACGGGAGGCAGCAGUUGGGAAUCUUCCGAAAUGGAGGAAAGUCGUACGGAGCAACUCCGCGUGGUUGAUGACGGCCUUCGGGUUUUAAAGCUCUGUUAAUCGGGACGCGGUACCGGAAGAGAAAGCCACGGCUAACUACGUGCCAGCAGCCGCGGUAAUUC
rnacentral:rRNA from 1 species